rnacentral:rRNA from 1 species
AUGGACGCACAGUCUGGUGAAUACGACAAAGUGUUUGAUUACCAGAACGAGCUACUUAGAAGCAACCCCGGUAGCACUGUGAUUGUCAAGCUGCACCCUGACUUUCAAAAGCCAACAUUUUACAGAUUCUAUGUUUGUUUUGAAGCUUGUAGAAAAGGUUUUCUUGCUGGUUGUAGGAAAGUAAUUGGACUUGAUGGGUGCUUUUUCAAAGGAAGAGCCGGAGAGCUAUUGUGUGCUGUCGGUAGAGAUGCCAACAAUCAGAUUUAUCCUAUCGCUUGGGCAGCAGUUGAUAAAGAGACCAAGGAUUCUUGGAAUUGGUUUUGUUCUGUAUUGUUCAAUGAUCUGAAGCUAGGAGAUGGAGACGGUUGGGUAAUAAUAUCUGAUCAACAAAAGGUAUUUUCUACUUGA